rnacentral:rRNA from 1 species
UGGGGAAUUUUGCGCAAUGGGGGAAACCCUGACGCAGCAACGCCGCGUGGAGGAUGAAGUCCCUUGGGACGUAAACUCCUUUCGAUCGGGACGAUUAUGACGGUACCGGAAGAAGAAGCCCCGGCUAACUUCGUGCCAGCAGCCGCGGUAAUACGAGGGGGGCGAGCGUUGUUCGGAAUUAUUGGGCGUAAAGGGCGCGUAGGCGGUUGGAUAAGUCUUGUGUGAAAUCUUCGGGCUCAACUCGAAGUCUGCACGAGAAACUAUCUGGCUUGAGUGUGGGAGAGGUGAGUGGAAUUCCUGGUGUAGCGGUGAAAUGCGUAGAUAUCAGGAGGAACACCUGUGGCGAAAGCGGCUCACUGGACCACAACUGACGCUGAGGCGCGAAAGCUAGGGGAGCAAACAG